UGUUCUAGAUCUUGAAGCUGGUAGGUGGGUUGAAGACUUGAAAAUAGAUGUUGUUGCUAUUUAGAAGAUAACAAAAGAAUUAUAAAUGAGUUGUGCAGCUACGGAGCUUUGGACUGGAGCUGUCAGUUGACUUUGGAUAGUUUUAAAGGUUUGGCUGAAGACCUUAUAGAAAUUGGAGUCAGCUCUGCUGGUAGAUUACCUGAUAAAUUAGCUGAAGCAUGUUAGGAGAAACUAUAUUAGUAAAACUCUGCUGACAUGGGAUCUGGGAAGCAUCAACACGAGAUGCGGACACGGUAUGAUGCAGAUACAGAGACGGCACAAUUUCAAAAAAAAAAGUGUAGGGUGCGAGCACGUCACUGAUUUAGUGAUAUUUUCCACUAGAGUAGAUACUAUUUCUUAUAAUUCUAACAAAUUGCUGGCGAACAGAAAUUUUGUGAAGGAAUAACCACAUAGUCUAGUGAAAAAACUUGUAUGUUCAGUAUUUGGGCAUUAUUAGUACAGAUUAACACUAAAAUUGUGGAUGGCAUGAGUAAGUGAUGUCACCGAUUUGUCCAUGGUGUGUCUUUGCACGUCCAUGUGUCAGACACACGACUAUUCCAGAGCAUCCUUGCUUCCUAGCAUGGGAGUCAGUUACAGAAGAAAGGGGCAUGGCCAGAAAAAGGGAUUUGGAAAGACUGCUCUGAGUGGCCACCUGAUUACGUUACCUACAUGUAUGACCAGAGAAGCAAAGUUCGAUUGAAAGUGGCCUCACUAGAGUUUUGGGUAUUGAUCCUAAAACCCAACAGGAAAAAACUCUUAUCCUUAAUUCCAUCACCCAUGAAUGUCUUCAAGAAGGCAAUGGUUAUCAUCCAGUUAUGCCCGUGCUGUCCAUACAGGAGGAUCUAGCCCCAUUAAAGUUUGCUCAUUAGUUGCUCAGGAGUAUACCAGGACCAAUGUGUUAGAGCUCUGGGCAUAGCAGCAUCAGAGUAAAGCAUAAUCGUAGGAACUGGCAUGCAUCUCAGUAUAUAUCUUGUCUGAUAAUCUUGAAUGAGAUGAUGUCAGUCAGUUUUCAUGCUAUUGUGUUGUUUGAGGAACCCCAUUGUUUGUUGUUUAUGCUCAAGAGACAAACUCCGUUGGAUAACGGAUAACGAUAGAUUGCUGGGAGUUGUGUCAUUGUUGGAACACUUGUUGCUAGUGAACUCGGACGAUAUCCAGUCCAUACUGGUGAAGACAUAAAGACUCUCUGUCUAGCAUGGUGUAUUGGUUGAUAAAAAUCAGAACAAAUGCUCAAAUCUCAAAUUAUAUGAUAUAUGAGUUUGAUAAAACACAGAAAAGAGGUGUGCCAUUUGUUUGUUCUGAGCAAGCUGAACUAUUGCUGGUGCUAUGUUAUGUGUAGCGCAUCUACUAGUAUGGCUAUCAUUUUGGUUUCGUUUCAGUAGUUCUAUAGAUUCAAAGUCCCAUCUCAUCAAUUGAUAUCCGUUUUUAACUGCCUCAGAUAGCUCUGCACUAGAAUUCAAUGUGUAGGAUGGUACCUAGUGUAAGAUGAUAAUAAGAUGUGAUUGGCAAUGAUGGGUUAAGAUCAAAUUUUAACUUUUGUGUAACCAUAUAUACUGUCUUUUGAUUUCUUGGUGCAAUCACGAUUGUGUUGUCUGUUUUAUAGAGCCAGGGCUCGUGGAGAGGGCGAAAGAAGACAGUUUUACUUUUUCCAGUUGAAUUGUAAUCCAUGCCAUUUACAUAUUAACAUGGAGAGGGCUGGGAAAGAAGAGUGUAAUCCAUUCCAUUUACAUAUUAAUAUAAGCUCGACCUGGUUCGAAACAUCGGAUACUGAAGAUGCCAAUGUAUCAAUUUGGGGCAUCUCUACAUGCGAGGUUUUCAGUGUUCGUCAAGAUAUUAAAAAGCUCUCUUCUUAAAUCUGAAGAAUUUAUGUUGGCAUAGAUUUUU